rnacentral:rRNA from 1 species
ACUCCUACGGGAGGCAGCAGUGGGGAAUAUUGCACAAUGGGCGCAAGCCUGAUGCAGCAACGCCGUGUGAGUGAAGAAGGUUUUCGGAUCGUAAAACUCUGUCCUAAGGGAAGAAAAAUGACGGUACCUUAGGAGGAAGCCCCGGCUAACUACGUGCCAGCAGCCGCGGUAAUACGUAGGGGCAAGCGUUAUCCGGAAUCACUGGGCGUAAAGGGUGCGUAGGCGGCUUAGCAAGCCAGGGGUGAAAGGCAUUGGCUCAACCAAUGUAAGCCUUUGGAACUGUUAAGCUUGAGUGCAGGAGAGGUAAGUGGAAUUCCUAGUGUAGAGGUGAAAUUCGUAGAUAUUAGGAGGAACACCAGUGGCGAAGGCGACUUACUGGACUGUAACUGACGCUGAUGCACGAAAGCGUGGGUAGCGAACAGGAUUAGAUACCCUGGUAGGUCAGUC